rnacentral:piRNA from 1 species
UGGUAGUGCUGUGCCACAUGUAGUAUCUGGU